AACGAACGCUGGCGGCAUGCCUAACACAUGCAAGUCGAACGAGACCUUCGGGUCUAGUGGCGCACGAGUGCGUAACGCGUGGGAACCUGCCCUUAGGUUCGGAAUAACUCCUCGAAAGGGGUGCUAAUACCGGAUAAUGUCUUCGGACCAAAGAUUUAUCGCCUUUGGAUGGGCCCGCGUUGGAUUAGCUAGUUGGUAGGGUAAAAGCCUACCAAGGCGACGAUCCAUAGCUGGUCUGAGAGGAUGAUCAGCCACACUGGGACUGAGACACGGCCCAGACUCCUACGGGAGGCAGCAGUGGGGAAUAUUGGACAAUGGGCGAAAGCCUGAUCCAGCAAUGCCGCGUGAGUGAUGAAGGCCUUAGGGUUGUAAAGCUCUUUUACCCGGGAUGAUAAUGACAGUACCGGGAGAAUAAGCUCCGGCUAACUCCGUG
rnacentral:rRNA from 1 species